rnacentral:rRNA from 1 species
AUGGCAGGCGGAGCAGAGGGCGGAGGAGCGAAAUCCGGCGAUGGCAAGCUAGUCAAGGCCAUCGCGACGGCCGGCGGCGCAGCACGCGACCGCAGCGGAUCUGGUUCUGGGGGCCCCGUCCGUGCGCGUCCAGGCAGGUUCCGACCGUGGUCGCCCUCGCCCUCGUACGUCAGUCGGCGGCGUCGGUUCGGUGUCGGAGCCAAGAUUGUCGACCCGGAUGAGGAUGCAGUGGGUGAUGGUGAAGCCGGUGUUGUGGCUAACCAGGACGGCGCGGCGGCAGGUGCUGGGCAAGAUGGCACGGCAGCAGGAGUGCGUCCUGGUGCUGACCAGGAUACCACGGCUGCAGGUGCUGGGCAUGUCGCCGAAAAGACCAGCAAGUAG